GAGUUUGAUCUUGGCUCAGGAUGAACGCUGGCGGCGUGCUUAACACAUGCAAGUCGAACGAAGCAUUUAGAACGGAUUACUUCGGUUUGAAGUUCUUUAUGACUGAGUGGCGGACGGGUGAGUAACGCGUGGGUAACCUGCCUUGUACUGGGGGAUAGCAGCUGGAAACGGCUGGUAAUACCGCAUAAGCGCACAAUGUUGCAUGACAUGGUGUGAAAAACUCCGGUGGUAUAAGAUGGACCCCGCGUCUGAUUAGCUAGUUGGUGAGAUAACAGCCCACCAAGGCGACGAUCAGUAGCCGACCUGAGAGGGUGACCGGCCACAUUGGGACUGAGACACGGCCCAGACUC
rnacentral:rRNA from 1 species